rnacentral:rRNA from 1 species
AGAGUUUGAUCCUGGCUCAGAUUGAACGCUGGCGGCAUGCCUUACACAUGCAAGUCGAACGGCAGCACGAGAGCUUGCUCUUGGUGGCGAGUGGCGAACGGGUGAGUAAUAUAUCGGAACGUACCCUAGAGUGGGGGAUAACGUAGCGAAAGUUACGCUAAUACCGCAUACGAUCUACGGAUGAAAGUGGGGGAUCGCAAGACCUCAUGCUCAUGUAGCGGCCGAUAUCUGAUUAGCUAGUUGGUGGGGUAAAAGCUCACCAAGGCGACGAUCAGUAGCUGGUCUGAGAGGACGACCAGCCACACUGGAACUGAGACACGGUCCAGACUCCUACGGGAGGCAGCAGUGGGGAAUUUUGGACAAUGGGCGCAAGCCUGAUCCAGCAAUGCCGCGUGAGUGAAGAAGGCCUUCGGGUUGUAAAGCUCUUUUGUCAGGGAAGAAACGGUGGACUCUAAUACAGAUCACUAAUGACGGUACCUGAAGAAUAAGCACCGGCUAACUACGUGCCAGCAGCCGCGGUAAUACGUAGGGUGCAAGCGUUAAUCGGAAUUACUGGGCGUAAAGCGUGCGCAGGCGGUUGUGCAAGACAGAUGUGAAAUCCCCGGGCUCAACCUGGGAAUUGCAUUUGUGACUGCACGGCUAGAGUGUGUCAGAGGGGGGUAGAAUUCCACGUGUAGCAGUGAAAUGCGUAGAGAUGUGGAGGAAUACCGAUGGCGAAGGCAGCCCCCUGGGAUAACACUGACGCUCAUGCACGAAAGCGUGGGGAGCAAACAGGAUUAGAUACCCUGGUAGUCCACGCCCUAAACGAUGUCUACUAGUUGUCGGGUCUUAAUUGACUUGGUAACGCAGCUAACGCGUGAAGUAGACCGCCUGGGGAGUACGGUCGCAAGAUUAAAACUCAAAGGAAUUGACGGGGACCCGCACAAGCGGUGGAUGAUGUGGAUUAAUUCGAUGCAACGCGAAAAACCUUACCUACCCUUGACAUGUCUGGAAUCCUUGAGAGAUCAGGGAGUGCUCGAAAGAGAAUCAGAACACAGGUGCUGCAUGGCUGUCGUCAGCUCGUGUCGUGAGAUGUUGGGUUAAGUCCCGCAACGAGCGCAACCCUUGUCAUUAGUUGCUACGAAAGGGCACUCUAAUGAGACUGCCGGUGACAAACCGGAGGAAGGUGGGGAUGACGUCAAGUCCUCAUGGCCCUUAUGGGUAGGGCUUCACACGUCAUACAAUGGUACAUACAGAGGGCCGCCAACCCGCGAGGGGGAGCUAAUCCCAGAAAGUGUAUCGUAGUCCGGAUUGUAGUCUGCAACUCGACUACAUGAAGUUGGAAUCGCUAGUAAUCGCGGAUCAGCAUGUCGCGGUGAAUACGUUCCCGGGUCUUGUACACACCGCCCGUCACACCAUGGGAGCGGGUUUCACCAGAAGUGGGUAGCCUAACCGCAAGGAGGGCGCUCACCACGGUGGGAUUCGUGACUGGGGUGAAGUCGUAACAAGGUA